rnacentral:snoRNA from 1 species
CCCAGCAGUAGUCAGUAGUCUGUAGCAGUGCAAUGCCUUUCCCAGCGUUACGUUGCUGGGAGAGAAAGGUGCUGCUGUCCAUUUCACCUGUCAGAGUCCUCAUUCUGGAGGCAGCUAACACCAGUGUGGAGCAGUGCUGUGCUUCUCUGAGUGGGCUAAGCAGUCACUUCACUGCUUAGUGCUUAGUCUGCAAGCAUAUAGA